rnacentral:rRNA from 1 species
GAAUAUUGCUCAAUGGGCGAAAGCCUGAUGCGGCAACGCCGCGUGAGUGAAGAAGGCCUUCGGGUUGUAAAGCUCUGUCUUUUGGGACGAUAAUGACGGUACCAAAGGAGGAAGCCACGGCUAACUACGUGCCAGCAGCCGCGGUAAUACGUAGGUGGCAAGCGUUGUCCGGAUUUACUGGGCGUAAAGGAUGCGUAGGUGGAUAUUUAAGUGGGAUGUGAAAUACCCGGGCUCAACUUGGGUGCUGCAUUCCAAACUGGAUAUCUAGAGUGCAGGAGAGGAAAGUGGAAUUCCUAGUGUAGCAGUGAAAUGCGUAGAUAUUAGGAGGAACACCAGUGGCGAAGGCGGCUUUCUGGACUGUAACUGACACUGAGGCAUGAAAGCGUGGGGAGCAAACAG